AUGGAUUAAAAGAAAAAUGGCGUCUAUUUACGUUUGUAGUGCGAAGUUAAAAUGGCACUGAUACAGCUUGUGGCUUGUUUUUUUUCGAAAAUCGUGAAAGUUUCCGUGUAAUCAUGGUGAACACUUUUAAUCGUCGCACGCAAGCAUGUAUAUCAUUUGCCUGACGUUAAGCGAACGAGGAGGAUCUUCUAGUAAAUAUGACGUUGGAAUUUCUGGAAAAUGUCCUAUAUAAAGGUCAAACAAGAAGAAUCAAGUACUCAAACGCAAGAAAUAAAAAAUACCCCGAGAAAAGCAAAAUUACGACAAGAUGUUAAGGUAUUGAAACAAAAACUUAAAAGUCGCGAAAUAGUGAUUGUAAAUAUAAAGUCGAUUUUAGAUUUAUUAGAGAAAAAUGGCGAUUUUUAAUUGAAUUGAAAUUUAAAUUGCGAAAUUUUAAUGAUACUGAUGGUCCACUUAGAUAUUGAUUAAAAUAAAUUAUGUAUUUCGUUGAAAAAAAAAGAAUUUACUUAAAAUAGAGGAAAUGUUAUAUUAUAAGACUACAGAAAAUUAACUGAACUUAAUAAUAAUAAUAUGUAUAACCAAUAUUUUGUAAAUAGAGAUCAAGUACUAUGUGUAUCGUGUUAUGUGUAUUGACUUGUCAUUUAAGAGUUAUUUAAUUGUCUACAUAUAACAAAUAAAUGAAUUUCAGUUCAUUUCAUUUUAUUA